AGCAGCCGCGGUAAUUCCAGCUCCAAUAGCGUAUAUUAAAGUUGUUGCAGUUAAAAAGCUCGUAGUUGAAUUUCGGGAUCAGUACGCCGGUCGUGCCUCCGGUAUGUACUGGUGUUACUGGUUCCUACCUUCUGACGAACCGUAAUGCCAUUAACUUGGUGUUGCGGGGAAACAGGACUGUUACUUUGAAAAAAUUAGAGUGUUUAAAGCAGGCUAACGCUUGAAUACAUUAGCAUGGAAUAAUGAAAUAGGACGUCGAUCUUAUUUUGUUGGUUUCUAGGGUUGACGUAAUGAUUAAUAGGGAUAGUUGGGGGCAUUAGUAUUCAAUUGUCAGAGGUGAAAUUCUUGGAUUUAUUGAAGACUAACUACUGCGAAAGCAUUUGCCAAGGAUGUUUUCAUUAAUCAAGAACGAAAGUUAGGGGAUCGAAGACGAUCAGAUACCGUCGUAGUCUUAACCAUAAACUAUGCCGACUAGGGAUCGGAUGAUGUUAAUUUUUUAAUGUACUCAUUCGGCGCCUUA
rnacentral:rRNA from 1 species